AGAGAGAGAGAGAGAGAGAGAGAGAGAGAGAGAGACUAUAUCAUGGGGUGUAGGCAUUUAAAGGAGCAGCUCUUCACAGGAUGUGUCCUUUGUCAUGCUCACAUUAGUUUGACAUUAGCACAGACAACAGCCCUCAUCCCUACAAGGCCCACUGCUUAUUUAAUGUGCAGCUCUAUGAUAGCAGUGACUGCAUUGUUUGACUUGCUAACACCCCUUCAGAAUAUUCAGUUAGUACCUCACUUUUGUAUUUCCUCAGAAACAGAUCCUGACAUAGUUGGAGAAGCUAUUUCACCUUCCACAGGAGGGAGAAGUGAGGCAGGGAGGGAAAGGCAGCCCAUUCGAGGUGCACAAUCUAAGAAGUUCCUGGAUGGAUGAUUGGAGCUCACCACAACUGGGGAACACUAGCCCAGCAUAAAACAUGCACCUCGGCAGAAUUCUCCCACCUGGGAGGAGAGCUGCCAUGUUUACACCCUGCUUCAGUCCCUUGAGACUUCUGUUUUGCCUCACAGGGACAGAGUUGCCUGUGGGGGUGACAGACAGAAUGCAUUGAAAACCCAAGUGCUAGAUAUUAAAGGUGAGGCUAGCAUGCACGAGAAUAGGUGAGUCCCAAGAUGACCCCACAAGCUCACUGUACCUACCCCGUAUUUCCUCUACACGUGAUAAGUGGUUGAUAUUUAUCCCUCUGACAUGUAUCUUACUUUUACCUUUGUAUACUAAUGCUGAGCCUGGAAUAUUCUUUCCUUUGGUAGGGCUUGGAGAAUAUGUUCUAUUAGAUAUCCAAGUUUCAUACUCUUUGUUUUUGUUUGUUUGUUUUGAGGUUUCACUAUACAGCCCCGGCUAGCCUAGAACUCACUGUGUGGGCUAGACUGGCUUUGAACUCAUAGGGAUCUUCCUGCCUCAGCCUUCUGAGAACUGGGAUUAGAUGCCUGUACCACCAUACCUGGCACACAUACUUUCUGAGUAGGGUUUCCUCCCCCGGCUUCUUUUGGAUUGUGGGUGGGGUAAUAGUACCCUCAAUCUAAUGUCACAUUCAUUAUGUCCUAGACAUGCCACAGUGGUCUUGGCUUGCUGAGAGAAGCUGUCCUUGAUUCUAGCCUGGAGAUAAACACUUUCAAUUAGAUCUUUACAUUUCUUGGUACAUUUCUAUUGGAAGAUUGAAGAGAAGGGAUUUAAAGGUGGGCUCAAAUUGGCAUUUUCAAAUGGAAGUAUGACUUAUUCCCCAAAGGUAUUCAACAUAUUAUCUCAGGGGCAUUUAAACUUAUGUGUAUUUAAUUUAAUAACUCUUACAAAAAAUAGCAGGAAGAAGCAGCUGCGUUAUUCAUUUGGUUCAAAGACCAUUUAUGUUUCCCCAACAUUAGCUUCCUGCACUUAAACUGACAAACCCUAGAUAAAUGCAAUAAUUCCUUCACAUUUCACCAUGAUCAGCUCUUUACUUCUAACAGCAACAAUUGUGUUUCUCAUUAACUUGUCCACUGCUGAUCCUUGGAGUGUUUGAAUCUUUAAAAAAAUAGCUGUAAGAAACUGUCAUAGCUACUGUAAGAGAAUAAUGAAGCAAAGAAAUGAGCUAUUGUAGUUUUCUCCUAGAGAUAAGGAUGCUGCUUGGGAUUUGAGUUGAAAUUCAUCCCAUCUUCCUCCCUGGCUCACGGUGUGUAAUUUUGCAUAAGCUAUUUGUAGUUGAUGCUGCUUGGGCAUGAGAUGGGAGGGGUGGGGGAAGGCUAAGAGAAGGCUGGGGCUAUAGAAGUCCUGGGGUGUGAAAAGGGAAACAAGGGUUUAAAAAGUAGAUCUGUGGAAUGUUCCAUAUGACUUUGGCAUCCUAUACUGACCUGAGAUUAGAGUAAAGUACCCAAGGAUAGUUUUGUUUCACACCACAAGAGAGCAUUUCACUCUUUGGAUGUUUUACACAGAGCCUGGCUAUGUUCCUUUGCUUUGCUGGGCACCCAGCCUUGUAUGCAUCAGGUGUGGCCACAUAAUGUGUUCUAGCUAAUGAAAUAUAAAGAGAGUGAUGGCUGUCACUUCCAGGUCAAGUCCAUAGCAUCCUCAGUUGUUGUCCUUGGCAUUCAUUUCACUAUAAUGCUAAGCUGGGAUCAUGGAGAGUUUGGAGUUGUGCAGUGAAGAUAGCUUCUAUCCACCAUAGAUCUCUGAGUCACUGCAUGGAGGGGAGCCAUCUGUGAGUGAAAACACCUCUUUAUGCAAAGAGAAACACACUGAUGCUGGUUUGAAAUGUUAUGUACCAACACUUUCUAGCAGCAGACGGUAUCUUUACUAACAUCUCGGGUCUGAGGCCAACUAAAGAGGACCCAGGCAGUCUAUACUCUAGUCUUCUCAGAGUCAGCUUUGUGAGAAAUCUAAGGUGGGACAGAAUAGGGGCUGGUCUGAGAGGCUGAUGCAAGGGGGGACAGGUUAGAGGUGGGUUGUCUACUACACCAAGGGCAAUGAAGAUAGCAUUCCUGGUGGUGGCUGAGGCACAUCCUGUCUUAAGGUAGUAGGUAAGUAUGAAACUUUGAUUGGCAGUGAGCUGGGAUAUUUCAGUAGAAGGAAAAGUGAUAUGUGGAACAAGGGAAUGAAGAAAUACUGAUUGUAUCCACAGCUUAGAGGAAUCAGAUGGAGAUUGCUAAGUGGACUGGGAAAGCUUUGAGUGACAAUUAGAUCAUUUAAAGCAGAGGGACUCCCUGGUAAUGAGGACAGGAACUUCUAUCCACAGUAGGCCAAAGGCAGAGAAAUCCAAGGCAUUGAAUCAUAGUGAAGGCAAACUUGAUAUUAACAGCAGUGGCUCCCAACCUUCCUAAUGCUCUGACCCUUUAAUAAAGUUCCUUAUGUUGUAGUGACCCCCAACCAUAAAAUUAUUUUCUUUGCUACUUCAUAACUGAUUUUGAUACUAUUAUGAAUUGUAAUGUAAGUAUCUGUGCUUUCCAAUGGUCUUAGGAGACCCCUUUGAAGAGGCCAUUCCACCUUUAAAGGGGUUGCAACCCACAGUUUGAGAACUGCUACCCCCAGGAGAUAGAAACCAACUAAGGAAAGGGCAGGGUAACAGUUCCAACCCCAAUGCUGUGCCCACUCUGGCGCCUGUGCUGAUGGAGUGCAUGGUAGACACAGGUGGCUUAAUGUUGUAUUGAAUCUAGUCACAGACACAGUAUUGCAUGUAUCCAGUAUGCAUUCACAACACACCCAGAAAUUUACCCAGUCAUGCAUGUGUGCACCCAUGCAUUCAAUACACACCCACCAUUCACAUUCAUUCUAAACACACUUAUUGAUGAGUACUUAAGUGCAGAACUUAGUGAUGGACACUGGAGGUGAUGAACUGAGCAAGACCCAGCCCAUCUUUAAUGAUCUCAUGGCCUCAGAGAGGAGACCUUUGUAUGGUCAGCACAGCAAGAUGAGGGUAACUCAGGAAUUACCAUAAGUCUGGAUCAUGGAAAGGCUACACUGCCUAUCUUCCUGAGAAGAGGGCAGCUUAGCCUGGCCUUGAAGGGUGUUUAGGAGGUUCAUAGGUGGGAAAUAGGCGGUCAGUAAAAUUUCUGUCAAAACAAAUAGUACCUUAAAGGCAAGAGAAAAAAAUGUCCCCUUUUAGAUCUAGACACAGAGGGGUACAAGGAGUCAGACAGCAGGAGGGAAGGCAGGGCUGUCAUAGUGCUCCAAUUAGAUGCAGGGGUGAGGCCUGGGUGAGCCUUGGGGAGGUGAGACAGGCAGCUAAACACAACACAAAGGAAUACUGAGAGCAGAGAGCAUGCAGGGAGCUGGGUAGGAGGCUUCUCCACAAGUUAGAACCAUUCAGAUGGUUCAGAGAGAGUGGGCGGUCACUGGAGGUAUCCAGUGGGUGGGACUAAUGGGAUGUGGCUGCAUCAGUGGAGGGUGAAGAGUAGGCCAGCCUUCCUUUCAAGGUUUCAGUCUUGGCGAUUGGUGAUAGAGUUAGAAGAUGUGAUGAUUCCAAUGGCUGAGGAUGGAACACCUGGAAUCAGCUCAUUUAGGGAGGAAGUAAGAGUGUAACCCCAGUGGAAAGAUCCCAUUUAUUCCUCUUAAAAUGGGAAAAGGUGGGUGUAGAACUCACUAGGACCUCAGCUGGCUCUGAACAAAUCAUGGGAGAUAUGGACCCCUUGUUUUCUUCUCCUAGACACCAGACCUGUAUUUAUGUUUCUUAACAUAAGACUAGACUCUGCACAUCCAAGUCACACCAUGGAGUCACUCUAAUGUUACACUGCCAAUUUGAUAACAUGAAGACUUUUUUUCUUCUGUCCUGGGAACUGAACUUAGGGCCUUAUGCAAGGAAAAUGUUCCACAGUUGAGACAUAGUUUCACUUUGAGACAAGGUUUUACUACAUUGCUGAGGUUGGCUUUGAACUUGAAAUUCUCCUGCCUCAGCCUUCAAUGUAGCUGAGAAUAUAGGCAAUGGCCACCUGCACAGGUCACAAAGAGCUUUGGACCUCAGGGGACUGACAGCCUUUCUUUCUCAACUCCAUGAUGGGAUUUGGCCUACUACUCAAUCUGGUGAAAAUCAUCUGGAAACCCCACUUUUCCAUUCAACACAUGGGAGAAAGUCAGAAGACAGUCUGAGAAUUUCAACUUAACUUUUCAGCUUCUUUAGGAAGAGUUUCACUGCUGAAGUUUGAGGUAGGCAGGGAGAACCUAGAGGGCCUUUUUGAUGUCUUAUUUUGCAAAGAUUUUUGUGAAGACCUGAGACUAGGGGUGGAUGUGUGUGUGUGUGUGUGUGUGUGUGUGUGUGUGUGUGUGUGUGUGUGUGUAACACAGGGAGAGUAUGGAGGCAAUGUAAUCCCUUGAGAGGUGGAGGCAGGGGAAUCAGAAGUUGAAAGGCAUCCUUGACUACAUAGUGAAUUUGCUUGCAUUUGGGGCAGGCUUGGAUUACAUGAGCCUCUGUCUUAAAAAAAAGGAGGCAGGCAGGAAGGGAAGAGGGGAAGGAGACAGACAGACAGACAGACAGACAGAGAUAGAUAGAUAGAUAGAUAGAUAGAUAGAUAGAUAGAUAGAUAGAUAGAGAACAAGCUGAUACCAGUAAGACUAAUUCCCCAGCUGUUUUAGGUCUACAUUCAGUUAAAGCUCUGGGCAAAGACUCAGAUCCAGUGUUGUUUUGGGUCCAGUGUUGUUUUGGGUCCAGUGUUGUUUUGGGUCCUGUGUUGUUUUGGGUCCUGUGUUGUUGUUUCCAGGCGGGUGGGGCUGUUUCAGUCACAGUGGGUCUGUGUCUACUUUCAUUUUACAUAUACUCACUGAUAUUUACACCUGAAGGCUCUGUGCUUGUCCUUGGGCACCAGAUACAAGUCUACUCCAUCAGAGCUCCUAGGCAGGACACAGAUAGUUCUGACUGUUGGAGUCCCUCUUGCCUCAGGUCUCUGAUGUUCGAUGGGAACCCAGCCCUUAGAGAUUUUUGGAGUCCAUGGACCAGCUGGAAGGACCAAGCUUGAGAUUCUGUUUUUGCCAUUGACUCCCUGUGUGACUCUUGUUCCUUGAGCCUCAGUUUCUUCAGCAGUUAAAUGGGAGCAAUUUGUGUACUUCAUGUUUGCAUGAAGACUAAAUGAUGCACCAUAGAGGCUCUCCCUAGGAAUGUGAGGUGCCUAGAGUAUGUCAUGGUGUGGGGGCAGGCUGGCCAGGCUUCAACAGUUGGGCUCUAGGAGCCUCUGGAGAAUACCUUCCUAGAUUCACAAGCUCGGCUUGAGGAUGGCAAAUUGAAUGGGGAAGAUACUAUGAUUGAGGGUCCCUCACUCAAAUCUCUGGACAGUGCAGAGACAACCAGAAAACCUCACAUGCAAAGAAGUGAGAGUCUAUAGCUUUCAUGCCAAAGGUUCCAACCAUGAGGAAGGGAUGCUCUCUAUGUGGGUGCCAGUCUGAAUCAGGGGACAGUGCCAAUGCUCUUGGCCUGUGGCUUGUCUUCCACUAACCUGGUCCUGGAAGAAGGAACUGGUGACCCAUCUUGGCAGAAAAGAGUCCUUUGAGGAUAUUCUGAAAUUGUCACUUCAAGAUAGGCCGGAGCAUCUGAGGGGAAGGAGAGAGGGACAGGAAGGUGGGUGAGAAAGGGUUGAGCUUGUUUUUAAGACUGUAUUAGUCACUUUCUUGUUUAACAGAAUACCCCACGAAGCAAUUUAAGGAGGGAAGGCUUGGUUGCUUUAGGCUCACAGUUCCAAGGCAGAGAGGCCAGAAGGCUUGGUGGCAGGAACAUGAGGCAGCUGGUCAUUGUAUCCAGAGUCCAGAAGCAAAGGGAGAGACAAAUGGUGGUGUGCAGCUUGCUUUGGUUUUUCCUUCUCAUUCAGUUCAGGACCCCAACCCAUGGAUGGAACUACCCACUAAGGAUGGCCUUCUUGCUUAGUUAACCCUCACAAGCAUGCCCAGAUGCUCGUCUCCCAGGGAACUCUAGAUCCUGUCAAGUUGACAAGACUGACCAUCACAGUGGUCAAUUUGACUACACUCUCUCACCUCCGAACUGCACUUGGAAAUGAAAUAGUAAUGACACUUUUCUGGGAGAAGUGUUCAAGUCACCAAUGUAUCCAUGAAGCUUAGCGCAUCCUGAAGGCUAAAGCUCUGCCUGUUGACUACUGCUCUGGGAAUGCCAUUGUCCCGUCAGCUUCGUUGACCUACAGUGUUCUUUCAUCUCCACGAGUCCAAACAGAAAUCUGCAUGGAAGAUUUGAGACCCACACUUCUACUGGCAUUAUCAGAACAUCCCUGGGAGUGUAUUAAUAGCCUGGAGUCAAGGUACAAAUGGUUAUUUAUAUGUGUCAGUGAUGGCUAAAGUACACUCUCUGGUAAUUAUUCACAAUUAACAGGCACUUCUGCAAAUGAGCAGAAUCUGUUCUUCAUCCAUUGGAGGUAGCAAUUUCUUAUCCCAGACUCAUGUACUGGAGACUCUGGGUAACCAGCUCGCCCUCCCAGCUCCAGAGCAGAACUAAUUAGAGAUUAUAAUCCUGACCUUCAGGCUCCUUCCUGAGCCUGAAGGGUACUUGAGUCAUCCAUAAAAUAUAAUGUGUUCGGUAGAAUUUCAGUUGACAAUAAUAGAGUUGAACGUCAGUGAACCCUAUGCACCUGUUAACUAUUGGCUACCUGGAGGUGAGGUGUUGCAUUCUUAGAGGGAGCUCUGACAGCCUGCCAGCUGCUCAGAAGACAGUCCCUGUCUUUUUCUGUGCUCAAUCGCAGUCUGUUUUAUGAGCUAAAACCUUAUGUGCAGACCGUCUAAGAGUUAUUGGAAACAUAUUGGCUGGUCUGGGUCCUUGAGGAAGGCCCCCUGUGUUGAUCCAGUUCAUUCCAUCACCCUUGCCUUCUCUAACUUUCAAUCUGUUAGCUGUGCUGGCACUGUCCGUAUAAAGACAGACUCCAUAUCUGGUUGCUUUUGAAUAUCCCACAGCUCCUCCUACAUCUGGUCUACCUAGAUGUGAUGGGGUAGGUCCUUCUGUGAGAAGGAGGAUUCUGGAAAAUGUAGGAAAGGGAAGGAGUCACCAUGUGAUCCCGGGAAGAAGAGGACGCGUAAGGCUGGCUUCCUUGGCGAGAUAAGUCUUUAUAAAAAUAUAUAGAUCAGUAGUUGUGGUUGAUAAUUAAGACUGAAAGAGUAAUCGUUACAAAAUGGCGACCAUGUGAUUUUACAAACUUCCACAUAAAAACUUCAGAAAAGCUUAAAAAGGGAUUUUAGAAGCAAAAGAACAGAGAUUAGCAUGAAUUCUUGGUAACAG